rnacentral:rRNA from 1 species
UUGUUUAAGUAAAAAAGUCGUAACAAGGUCUCCGUUGGUGAACCAGCGGAGGGAUCAUUACCGAGUUUACAACUCCCAAACCCCUGUGAACAUACCACUUGUUGCCUCGGCGGAUCAGCCCGCUCCCGGUAAAACGGGACGGCCCGCCAGAGGACCCCUAAACUCUGUUUCUAUAUGUAACUUCUGAGUAAAACCAUAAAUAAAUCAAAACUUUCAACAACGGAUCUCUUGGUUCUGGCAUCGAUGAAGAACGCAGCAAAAUGCGAUAAGUAAUGUGAAUUGCAGAAUUCAGUGAAUCAUCGAAUCUUUGAACGCACAUUGCGCCCGCCAGUAUUCUGGCGGGCAUGCCUGUUCGAGCGUCAUUUCAACCCUCAAGCACAGCUUGGUGUUGGGACUCGCGUUAAUUCGCGUUCCCCAAAUUGAUUGGCGGUCACGUCGAGCUUCCAUAGCGUAGUAGUAAAACCCUCGUUACUGGUAAUCGUCGCGGCCACGCCGUUAAACCCCAACUUCUGAAUGUUGACCUCGAUCACAGAGUCUGGUCCG